rnacentral:rRNA from 1 species
UACGUAGGGGGCAAGCGUUAUCCGGAAUUACUGGGUGUAAAGGGUGAGUAGGCGGUUUGGUAAGUCAUAUGUGAAAGCCCGGGGCUCAACCCCGGGACUGCAUAAGAAACUGCUGAACUAGAGUACAGGAGAGGUAAGCGGAAUUCCUAGUGUAGCGGUGAAAUGCGUAGAUAUUAGGAAGAACACCAGUGGCGAAGGCGGCUUACUGGACUGAAACUGACGCUGAGUAACGAAAGCGUGGGGAGCGAACAGG